rnacentral:rRNA from 1 species
ACGGGAGGCAGCAGCGGGGAAUAUUGGGCAAUGGGCGAAAGCCUGACCCAGCAACGCCGCGUGCGGGAAGAAGGUUUUCGGAUUGUAAACCUCUGUCAACAGGGACGAAAAUGACGGUACCUGUGAAGGAAGCUCCGGCUAACUACGUGCCAGCAGCCGCGGUAAUACGUAGGGAGCAAGCGUUAUCCGGAAUUACUGGGUGUAAAGGGAGUGUAGGCGGGACUGUAAGUCAGAUGUGAAAUAUGCCGGCUCAACUGGCAGACUGCAUUUGAAACUGCGGUUCUUGAGUGAAGUAGAGGUAAGCGGAAUUCCUAGUGUAGCGGUGAAAUGCGUAGAUAUUAGGAGGAACAUCAGUGGCGAAGGCGGCUUACUGGGCUUUAACUGACGCUGAGGCUCGAAAGCGUGGGGAGCAAACAGGAUUAGAUACCCUGGUA